rnacentral:rRNA from 1 species
UUGAACGCUGGCGGAAUGCUUUACACAUGCAAGUCGAGCGGCAGCGCGGGGCAACCUGGCGGCGAGCGGCGAACGGGUGAGUAAUAUAUCGGAACGUACCCUGUCGUGGGGGAUAACACAUCGAAAGAUGUGCUAAUACCGCAUACGACCUGAGGGGGAAAGCGGGGGACCUUCGGGCCUCGCGCGAUUGGAGCGGCUGAUGUCGGAUUAGCUAGUUGGUGGGGUAAAGGCCUACCAAGGCGACGAUCCGUAGCUGGUCUGAGAGGAUGAUCAGCCACACUGGGACUGAGACACGGCCCAGACUCCUACGGGAGGCAGCAGUGGGGAAUUUUGGACAAUGGGGGCAACCCUGAUCCAGCCAUUCCGCGUGAGUGAAGAAGGCCUUCGGGUUGUAAAGCUCUUUCAGCAGGAGCGAAACGGUCGUUUUUAAUACAGACGGCUAAUGACGGUACCUGCAGAAGAAGCACCGGCUAACUACGU